GCGACCGGAGCGGUAGGAGCAGCAAUUUAUCCGUGUGCAGCCCCAAACUGGAAAGAAGAUGCUAAUUAAAGUGAAGGAACCAAAGCGGGGAGUGUGUUCAGUCAGUACCUGCCUUUCUGAGCCUGGCAUCCUGGACCAGCCUCACUUCCUUGGCUGAGGCAGACGCUGACCGGAAAGGAGAUUGAGAUUGACAUUGAACCUACAGACAAGGUGGAGCGAAUCAAGGAGCGUGUGGAGGAGAAAGAGGGAAUCCCCCCACAACAGCAGAGGCUCAUCUACAGUGGCAAGCAGAUGAAUGAUGAGAAGACAGCAGCUGAUUACAAGAUUUUAGGUGGUUCAGUCCUUCACCUGGUGUUGGCUCUGAGAGGAGGAGGUGGUCUUAGGCAGUGAUGGACCCUCCAUUUUACCUCUUUACCCUGUCGCUCAUAAUGAGGCAUCAUAUAUCCUCUCACUCUCUGGGACACCAUAGCCACUGCCCCCUCCCCUGGAUGCCCAGUAAUGUAUGUCUACUGGUGGGAGACUGUGAGGAUCCCAGGAUUCAGUAUUCCUGGCCCAGAGGGCCCUUGCUGGCUACUGGGUGUUAGUUUGCAGUCCUGUGUGCUUCCCUCUCUUAUGACUGUGUCCCUGGUUGUCAAUAAAAUAUUUCCUGGC
rnacentral:lncRNA from 1 species